rnacentral:rRNA from 1 species
CCUACGGGUGACAGCAGUCGAGAAUUAUUCACAAUGGGGGAAACCCUGAUGGUGCGACGCCGCGUGGGGGAAUGAAGGUCUUCGGAUUGUAACCCCCUGUCAUGUGGGAGCAUAUUAAAAAGAUAGUACCACAAGAGGAAGCGACGGAUAACUCUGUGCCAGCAGCCGCGUUAAUACAGAGGUCUCAAGCGUUGUUCGGUACCACUGGGCGUAAAGCUUGCGUGGGCUGUUUAGUAAUUCGUGUGUGAAAGCGGCGGGCCUAACCCGCGGACGGCUCAGUAUACUGCUAGACUAGAGUAAUGUAGGGGGAACUGGAAUUCUCGGUGUAGCAGUGAAAUGCGUAGAUAU